CCUCCUGUUUCCGGUGCCGUCACGGGGCAGAGCAGUCGGUGACAGUCCCGAGAGCCCCCGCCCCGCGCCCAUGGCUGAGCCGGAUCCCUCUGACCCUGUGGAGACCCAGGCAGGGAAGGUGCAGGAGGCUCAGGACUCAGAUUCAGACACUGAGGGAGGAGCGGCUGGCGGAGAAGGAGAGAUGGACUUCCUGCGGCAUUUCUUCUCCCAGACACUGGGCCUGGGCACCCAGAAGGAGCGUCUGCUGGACGAAUUAACCCUGGAAGGGGUGACCCGCUACAUGCAGAGUGAGCGCUGUCGCAGGGUUAUCUGUUUGGUGGGAGCUGGAAUCUCCACUUCCGCGGGCAUCCCUGACUUCCGCUCCCCAAACACGGGCCUCUACGCCAACCUGGAGAAAUACCAUCUUCCCUACCCGGAGGCCAUCUUCGAGAUUGGCUACUUCAAGAAACAUCCAGAGCCCUUCUUUGCCCUCGCCAAGGAACUCUAUCCUGGGCAGUUCAAGCCCACCAUCUGCCACUACUUCAUCCGCCUGCUGAAGGAGAAGGGGCUGCUCCUGCGCUGCUACACGCAGAACAUAGACACCCUGGAGCGAGUGGCGGGGCUGGAGGCCGAGGACCUGGUGGAGGCCCACGGCACCUUCUACACGUCUCACUGCAUCAGCCCCGUCUGCCGGCAGGAGUACACGCUAAGCUGGAUGAAAGAGAAGAUCUUCUCCGAGGUGACUCCCAAGUGUGAGAAAUGUCGGAGUGUGGUGAAGCCUGAUAUCGUGUUCUUCGGCGAGAACCUCCCAGCGCGUUUUUUCUCCUGCCUGCAGUCAGACUUCCUGAAGGUGGACCUCCUCCUCAUCAUGGGCACCUCCCUGCAGGUGCAGCCCUUCGCAUCCCUUAUCAGCAAGGCGCCCCUCUCCACCCCGCGCCUGCUCAUCAACAAGGAGAAGACUGGCCAGGUGAGCCCUUUUAGUCACACCCUGCCACCCCCGCACACGGGCCCCACAUUGCCUCCCCCCGGCCUCCUCGGGAACCAGGGGACAGGUCUCUGGGGAAUCCCGAUACUUUGGACCCCUCAGCUCAGACCUAAGGAUUCUGGAAUCCACAGGGGUCAGGUUCCAGGCUGCCCUGACUCCAGGAUUCCACAGGCCUCUGUGUCAUUCACCCUUUUUUUUUUUUUUAAUUUAUUUAUUAUUAUUUUUGGCUGCGCUGGGUCUUUGUUGCUGCGCGUGGGCUUUCUUUAGUCGUGGCGAGCGGGGGCUACUCUUUGUUGCAGUGCACGGGCUUCUCAUUGCAGUGGCUUCUCUUGUUGUGGAGCGCGGGCUCUAGGCGGCGGGCUCAGUAGUUGUGGCGCACGGGCUUGGCUGCUCCGCGGCACGUGGGAUCUUCCCAGACCAGGGCUCGAACCCGUGUCCCCUGCAUUGGCAGGCAGAUUCUUAACCUCUGCACCACCAGGGAAGUCCCCCAUUCACCCUUUUGAACGAGUGACGGAACCCCAGCUCAAAGCGACUUAAGCCAAAACGAGAAUGUCGUGCUUCCCGUGACUGAAGAGUCCGGGCUAGCUGGCCCCUGGGCCUGCAGCAGUGCUGUCAGGAGUUACCCGCUCCCUCUCUCGUCUCUCUUUUCCUGAGGUAGCUUCACUCCCAGGCAGGGGCUCCCUCCUGGGGACAGAUGUUUCUCCAACAGGCAAAAAACGUACGGUGUGCCACAUGCCGUGCUAAGCAUUUCCUCUGUAUUAACCCGCUGACAGUACGACCCUAGGAGUGGGUUUGAUGAUCACCCCCACUCUACAGAGAAAGAAACUGACGUUCAGAGAGGCCAGGCCAUUUGAGCAAAGUCACAGAGCUGGGAUUCCAACCCAAGCCACCUGGCUCCAGGGUCUGUGCUCUUAGCUCCCCCCGACUCCACCCCCUUCCCCACAGACUGACCCUUUCCUCGGGAUGAUGAUGGGCCUCGGAGGAGGCAUGGACUUCGACUCCAAGAAGGCCUACAGAAGGAGCUGGAGGACCUCGUCCGGAAGGAGCAUGCCAGCAUAGAUGCCCAGUCGGGGUCAGGGACUCCCAACCCCA